rnacentral:lncRNA from 1 species
AACUUGGCAUCCAAAUGAAGUUUACAUGAUUAAGGAAUACAAAUUAAGGAACUUUACACGAAACUUUGCAGAACUCAAUAGUCAAUAUCAAUAUCCCAAAUAUAACAUAACUCCUAAAAAAUCUAAUACUAUAAUUCUUCAUAGAACUUUCAAUUGUAAAUUUUUUAUUUCAAGCUACAUGAUCAUUUUUCUUUCAAUCUUCACAACAUUGAAUUUGGCUACUAAAAAACCACUGAAAUCUGCAAAAAUAGAUAAUCAAAGUAUCAAUUUUAGAUCAAUAGAUAUGUCAUAAAAUGGUCAAAAGACACAGAGAUUUGAUUUUGCAUAAAUGCAAUUAGAUUCUUUAAGAACAAUGCAUAAAUAGAUAUGAUCCCUCACUUGUGCCUUUGUCUCAUGCAAUCCUCUACCCUCACCACUGCUAGCGCGUGGAAAGAGACACACUGAAAUCCAGUGAAGUAUGGAGCUUAUAUUGCCGGUACAGACACCUUGCAAGCGACAAAGGGUGUGUCGUGGACACCGGUGCAUCAACAAAGAAUUGGGAUUUUGAAGCUUAGUUUGGAAGAAGAUUGCAGAGUGAGUUUGGUUGACCCAUGCAUAACAAAAAUAAAGCAUCACAAUUCUGAAAAGUGAAUUUGAAAUGACUAUUGAGCAAGUGAAUUUAGCCCCUUAAAAAAUUGAUAGCAAAGGCCAAAUAUUAUACUCAACCAAGCAAAUAAGCGAUGAAAUUAUAAUCCAUGAAAAGAAGACGUGUUUUUAGGGGAU